GUUGCGGACACCGCUCUCCCGGCAGUACUGCUUGAUGAGGAGGGUCAGCACGUCGGACGACAGCUUGGCCUUGCUCUCGUCCAGGCCACAGAGGGCACGGGCCUGAGGAACCAGGGAACACAGAGACUGGGAGCCAGCUUCAGUCACAGCUGCAGAAGGCUCAAGGGGACGAGUUCACUCAAGCCCAUUCUAGAAAGAGAACGCUACGUGAGGAAUACAGUCCGCUGGGAAGGAAGCCUGGCUUUGCUGACUGCAAGCUAGUGAAGCUGCCGCACCCCUGGGCACCAGAAGGGAAGGACUCCCCACCCAGGAAAAGCUUCUUACCACAGGUGCAGGCAGAGGCCUGAACCUUGGGUGAGCCUGGGACUAGGAAAAGGCCAGGCAGGUGGUCGCAGAACUGGGAACCAUGGCCUCCCUGUAAGGCCCACAGCUGCGAGUGACCGGGCCUGGACACCAGCCACACGUGUGACAUUAAAGGCGGGGGCUUCCUAUCAGAGCUGAACUCAGGACCCCAAGACAGGGUGGGGCCCUGAGGCCACGGGUGGGGCCGUGCUGUGUUCAGCACUGUGUUUGCAGAGGUGACUCCUGCUCUGGUUCUACGGCCUGAGGUGCUGGGACAGGAGAAUUCCCACACAAGCACUUCCAGGACCCAUGGGCCUUCCCAAGUGACAGGGACAAGAAGAGCAGCCCUUCUUAUUCAAGAAAAGCCCCUUCCAGAACACUGAGAAUAACAAGGUAAUUAUUAGCAUAGCUGGCUGGGGGCCAGAAGAACCAACCAAAAAACUGGAGGGACAGAGGUCUCUGCCCCCAGGGAGGGAAGGGCGCUGGGGGGCUAAUCACACACAACCAAGGAUCCGAUCAAUAACCUGAGAAAUGGGUCCUUCCCUACUCCUUGCCCCGGGGUCUCUUUUUUGGCUGUUCCCUGGUUGAAUCCUUUAUAAUAAACUGGUAACAGU